rnacentral:lncRNA from 1 species
AAUACAGCAAAAAAUUAUCCACAACGGAGACUUCGGAUAAAAUCCGGAUGAAAACAAUCCACUAAGGGACUUCGCUGGGGAUGUCCACAAGGACACUCCUGGGGAAGCAGCGGGACGAGGUAUUACCGGUUACUGGGUAAUAAGCUCAAGGAGACAUGUGAUCUGAACGCCAGGUAUGAGGGUGAGAGAUACAACAUGCUCAGGAAGAGAUGAAUAUCCAAGACCGGUAUAAGGGUGAGAGAUAUCAAAACUUCAAAACGUCUAAGGAAAACCUAAAAGGUAUACUUCAACUCAG